rnacentral:rRNA from 1 species
GACGAACGCUGGCGGCGUGCUUAACACAUGCAAGUCGAACGGAAAGGCCCUGCUUUUGUGGGGUGCUCGAGUGGCGAACGGGUGAGUAACACGUGAGUAACCUGCCCUUGACUUUGGGAUAACUUCAGGAAACUGGGGCUAAUACCGGAUAGGAGCUCCUGCUGCAUGGUGGGGGUUGGAAAGUUUCGGCGGUUGGGGAUGGACUCGCGGCUUAUCAGCUUGUUGGUGGGGUAGUGGCUUACCAAGGCUUUGACGGGUAGCCGGCCUGAGAGGGUGACCGGCCACAUUGGGACUGAGAUACGGCCCAGACUCCUACGGGAGGCAGCAGUGGGGAAUGUUGCACAAGGGGCGGAAGCCUGAUGCAGCAACGCCGCGUGCGGGAUGACGGCCUUCGGGUUGUAAACCGCUUUCGCCUGUGACGAAGCGUGAGUGACGGUAAUGAGUAAAGAAGCACCGGCUAACUACGUG